rnacentral:rRNA from 1 species
AUACGUAGGUGGCGAGCGUUGUCCGGAUUUACUGGGUGUAAAGGGCGAGUAGGCGGGGAUUCAAGUCAGAUGUGAAAUACCGAGGCUUAACUUCGGAGCUGCAUUUGAAACUGGAUUUCUUGAGUGAUGGAGAGGCAGGCGGCAUUCCCUGUGUAGGGGGUAAAUGCAUAGAGAUCGGGAGGAACACCAGUGGCGAAGGCGGCCUGCUGGACAUUAACUGACGCUGAGGCGCGAAAGUGUGGGGAGCAAACAGGAUUAGAUACCCUGGUAGUCCACACCGUAAACGAUGGAUACUAGGUGUGGGGGGUUUGACCCCCUCCGUGCCGGAGUUAACACAAUAAGUAUCCCACCUGGGGAGUACGAUCGCAAGAUUGAAACUCAAAUGAAUUGACGGGG